GACAGAGGGUGCAAACGUUGCUCGGAAUUACUGGGCGUAAAGCGCGUGUAGGCGGGCCGGAAAGUCGGGCGUGAAAUCCCUGGGCUCAACCCAGGAACUGCACUCGAAACUUCCGGUCUAGAGUGGUGGAGAGGGAAGUGGAAUUUCUGGUGUAGAGGUGAAAUUCGUAGAUAUCGGGAGGAACACCAGUGGCGAAGGCGGCGACCUGGGCCAAUAUUGACGCUGAGGUGCGAAAGCGUGGGGAGCAAACAGG
rnacentral:rRNA from 1 species